GGGCCUGUAGCUCAGUUGGACAGAGCAGCGCUCUCCUAAAGCGCGGGUCGGGGGUUCGAUUCCCUCCAGGCUCACCA
rnacentral:tRNA from 1 species